AAUCAACGCUGGCGGCGUGCCUCAGACAUGCAAGUCGAACGAUUAAAGCUCUCUUCGGAGAGUGCAUAAAGUGGCGCACGGGUGAGUAACACGUAAGUAAUCUACCCUCGAGUGGGGAAGUAACAGUCGGAACGACUGCUAAUACCGCAUAAUGCAGCGGCACCGCAAGGUGACAGUUGUUAAAGAUUUAUUUGCUUGAGGGAGGAGCUUGCGGCAGAUUAGCUUGUUGGUAAGGUAACGGCUUACCAACGGCUACGAUCUGUAUCCGGUCUAAGAGGACGGUCGGACACACUGACACUGAAC
rnacentral:rRNA from 1 species